UCAACUCCAGCCACUUUAAUAAUGGAAAUUGAUGGAAAAAAUAUAUCACUAGCCACUUUAAACAAUGCCACUUAAUAUAAUGUUUACAUACCCUACAUUACUCAUCUCAUAUGUAUAUACUGCACUCUAUAUCAUCUACUGCAUCUUGCCUAUGCCGAUCUGUACCAUCACUCAUUCAUAUCUUUAUGUACAUAUUCUUUAUCCCUUUACACUUGUGUGUGUAUAAGGUAGUAGUUUUGGAAUUGUUAGGUUAGAUUACUCGUUGGUUAUUACUGCAUUGUCGGAACUAGAAGCACAAGCAUUUCGCUACACUCGCAUUAACAUCUGCUAACCAUGUGUAUGUGACAAAUAACAUUUGAUUUGUUUGUCUGUUUUCUUCUGUUUGGUACCGAAUUAAUGUGACCCUGGUGUCUAAGGAGCAGGAAGCCCAAAUGGAAUAUAUCCUCUUGAAGAGAAAGAUCACACACUGGCCUCGAUUCCAUCUGACACUGCCUGUACACAAGGAGAAGAGGUCAGAGAAGGGAAAGGACUUGAAUAUGAAGAGAGGUCAGAGAAGGGAAAGGACUUGAAUAUGAAGAGAGGUCAGAGAAGGGAAAGGACUUGAAUAUGAAGAGAUCAGAGAAGGGAAAGGACUUGAAUAUGAAGAGAGGUCAGAGAAGGGACAGAACUUGAAUAUGAAGAGAGGUCAGAGAAGGGACAGACUUGAAUAUGAAGAGAGGUCAGAGAAGGGAAAGGACUUGUUGAAUAUGAAGAGAGGUCAGAGAAGGGACAGACUUGAAUAUGAAGAGAGGUCAGAGAAGGGAAAGGACUUGUUGAAUACGAAGAGAGGUCAGAGAAGGGAAAGGACUUGUUGAAUAUGAAGAGAGGUCAGAGAAGGGAAAGGACUUGUUGAAUAUGAAGAGAGGUCAGAGAAGGGACAGACUUGAAUAUGAAGAGAGGUCAGAGAAGGGAAAAGACUUGAAUAUGAAGAGAGGUCAGAGAAGGGACAGACUUGAAUAUGAAGAGAGGUCAGAGAAGGGACAGACUUGAAUAUGAAGAGAGGUCAGAGAAGGGACAGACUUGAAUAUGAAGAGAGGUCAGAGAAGUGAAAGGACUUGUUGAAUAUGAAGAGAGGUCAGAGAAGGGAAAGGACUUGAAUAUGAAGAGAGGUCAGAGAAGUGAAAGGACUUGUUGAAUAUGAAGAGAGGUCAGAGAAGGGAAAGGACUUGAAUAUGAAGAGAGGUCAGAGAAGUGAAAGGACUUGUUGAAUAUGAAGAGAGGUCAGAGAAGGGAAAGGACUUGUUGAAUAUGAAGAGAGG
ensembl:lncRNA